GCCUGGGUGGCUCAGUCGGUUAAGCAUCUGCCUUCAGCUCAGGUCAUGGGAUCAAGCCCCAUGUCAGGCU
rfam:Ailuropoda melanoleuca scaffold1329_9, whole genome shotgun sequence.